GUGGGUUUCAAAGCUGUAAAAUCGGACACAGCGGAGGUUGGAUACGUUGCCAUUGACGACGUUGCGUAUUCUGCUGGAGUGAACUGUCACGGAGUGCGAACAGAUGAAGCUGUUUGGGGUUCCAGUCAGACUCCUGGGAUUGUUGCUUCAGUGAUCAUCGUGCUGGCUGUGGUGGUCUCCCUGACUGUGGGCCUUGUUUACUGGCAGAAGAAGCGAGUCAGUCCCCCCGGAACGUCAAGCAGGCAAUUUGGAUUCGAUAACAUGUUCUACCGCAGUCAGAACUAGGCUGGGUUGGAGGGCAGCUGAACAUGUCAUCAACAGAUACUCAACUCUCUCCGUCUCAUCUACUUUACCAGGAAGACAUCCAGAACCUGUCAAAACAUCUUGAUAACCUUCUAGGAUCUGCUGAACAGUCAAUGAUCCCUAAAAUCUCUUCUGGCUUGGUUAGGGCGUUGGUCUUGCUUCAGCUGCACUGAGGGGGACUUUGCUUUAGUUUCCUGUCUGAAGCUGGAGACCCUCCCAUUGUUUCAGGCCCUCAGAUGCAUUUGUCCUCGUAGCUUCAGUAUCACUCCAUCAGGGGAGCCUCAACCUUACGCCCAAGAGCUUCACACUUGGGUCAUCAACCUUGUGAUAGUUUACAUGGUGUCAGUGAAGGGCAUGAUGCUGCACAAAACACUGGUGUCUGUCUCAAUUGGUGUUCAUUUGAUGAUCUGCAGCCUUCAUUCUCGCAGACGCAAUAAACUAAUUCAUCAAAAUCAUUGGGUAAG